rnacentral:rRNA from 1 species
CCUACGGGGGGCAGCAGUGGGGAAUAUUGCACAAUGGGCGCAAGCCUGAUGCAGCCAUGCCGCGUGUAUGAAGAAGGCCUUCGGGUUGUAAAGUACUUUCAGUCGGGAGGAAGGUGUUAAGGUUAAUAACCUUAACAAUUGACGUUACCGACAGAAGAAGCACCGGCUAACUCCGUGCCAGCAGCCGCGGUAAUACGGAGGGUGCAAGCGUUAAUCGGAAUUACUGGGCGUAAAGCGCACGCAGGCGGUUGAUUGAGUCAGAUGUGAAAUCCCCGGGCUUAACCCGGGAAUUGCAUCUGAUACUGGUCAGCUAGAGUCUUGUAGAGGGGGGUAGAAUUCCAUGUGUAGCGGUGAAAUGCGUAGAGAUGUGGAGGAAUACCGGUGGCGAAGGCGGCCCCCUGGACAAAGACUGACGCUCAGGUGCGAAAGCGUGGGGAGC